GACGAGCCACACGAACGUUAUUCGGAAUUACUGGGCUUAAAGGGUGCGUAGGCGGUGCGGAAAGUUGGGUGUGAAAUCCCUCGGCUCAACCGAGGAACUGCGCCCAAAACUACCGCACUCGAGGAAGAUGGAGGUGAGCGGAACUUACGGUGGAGCGGUGAAAUGCGUUGAUAUCGUAAGGAACACCCGUGGCGAAAGCGGCUCACUGGGUCUUUUCUGACGCUGAUGCACGAAAGCUAGGGGAGCAAACGGG
rnacentral:rRNA from 1 species